rnacentral:lncRNA from 1 species
UUAUUGGGAUCCGGGUUUCCGGAAGUGUCUAUUUCGACACCGAAAGCCACCGUCGCUCACCCGUCAUUUCUGAACUCUCGAAAUGACGCGAGUGACCAGCCAACAAGGCUCAGCGACUGCACAAAAGCUCACGAAGCACCGUCGGAAUAAUUCUGAACCAAAACCGCGUUCCGUCGACGGGUUUUGCCGACAAACGCACCGAAAAUACAUUUCCGAUCUUCGCAAAGGUCCGGGGCCUUGGACAAUCAGUCCAGAGAUCACCCACAGCCUACCCAUGCUGCCAACAGCAACCGCAACAACCGGAAUUGCAUAAAAGCCCUUCCGAAUACCCGAAAUCGCAUUAUUUCAUGCGAUUUCGGCGCUGUUAUGGUCCGUCUGCACAAACCAGAAGUGAAUCAGCGAAGCUGAGACACCCGCUGACAGGUCUCGGCGUGCCGGAAGCCGUGCUCACCUUUCAGAGCAAUUCCGGCCACUGUGGGACGCGCACGAGCGACACGAAGUUCAACUAAACAACGCGCACUGAAACUAAAACGCAUCUAAUUAACUCAUCCGGAGCUCGCUGACCCUAAAUGAGGUGAGCAUUGUGAUCAGGACUGACUGACGAUCACCGUGCUCACCUCCGGGGGCAUCGGAACAGCCCCGGGUCGCAGGAACAGUGAUCUAAACAAGGAACUAGUGCGCAGACAGGCUGAAAACAGCUUACCGGACAGGGUGGAGCUAGGGCACGGCCGGCGGCUGUCGGACGGCGUGCGCUCCGGCAAGGGAAGGGUGCGGCUGGUCCAACGGGUCCGGGGAACCUGCUGGCCGGCGGCGGGAGGCGGCCGGUGGCGCGGCGGAGGAGAUCAAUUCCGCCAACAGCUCUCGGGUUCAAGGCUUCCCGGCGGCGCGGCGGCGGCCGGAGGAGGUCGGGGCGACGUCGAUCCGUCGUCGGAGGCCGAGGGGGUCAUGGUGCACCCCUCCGUGGGCGGCGGCGUCGUGCGGUGGCCGAGGUGGCUCGGCCUCGGCCCGCACAAGCUCUGGGCGGCCGCAGGGUGCACGAGCGGCGACCGGCGGCGCGCGGGGAUGACGGGGAGGCACGCCGGAGGUCGCCGGAGGUUCCAGGAUGGCGGCGCGGCCAGCGGGGAGCGGUGGCGGCGCGCGGAUGCAAAGAUCACCCAGACUCGGCCUGGGUGAUAGCAGGUGACCGCAGGGAGCUGGGGCGGCUCCGGCGGCGUGCGCAGACGGUGGGGCCGGCGGCGGAGGUCGCUGGGGCUCCGGGGAAGGGCGUCUCGGCCGUCCCAAAGUGGCGGCGGCAGUGCUAGCAGGGAGCUAAAGCUCCUGGGCCAGAUCUGCCUAGAUCUGGCCGCAGCCUGCCUAGGCGGCGGCGGCAGUGCGCAGGGACGACCGGGACGGCGCCGGGGCUUCGUCGGAGGUCGGGCAUGGCCAGGGGAUGGGGGCCCAAGGGUGAUGAUCUCCCAGGUGGUCCUCGGGCAGAGAUGGAGAGGUGGAUAGGUGGAUUGGUUGAGAGAGAAGGAUGGAGGGGGUGGCCGGGUUCUAGUUUUCCGGCGGCCGGGCACCUGCCGGCGGCCGGGGUGAGAGCAUGGCUAGGGCAGGGCUACUCUGAGGUCGGCUAGGGCACAGAUGGGGCGCUGGGUCGAGUAGAUCUAGGGUUUCGUGCAUAGAAACCCUAGAUGCACAUUGUAUACAAGGUGCAAUUUUGCACCAAAGUCCACCGAAACUAUAAAUUUCAAACCUAGUCCUUCACAAUGGGUAACUCUCGCGUUUUUACACCUCCACAAUCGAUCUCGCGCGAUUCGGUACAUAAAAUAUUACGACUUUUGCGAAUUUUCCGAUUUUCCACUCUCGACCCCUUAGCGAACUUAUUGCAAUUCCCAAAGAUCCGUCCAUCGGAUUUCCGAUCGGAUCAUGCCAACGCGUUCAGCACGUCGAGGCAUCGAAUCUAGCAUUUCGUUUCGUCCGAUUUGAUCUCCGAUUCACGACG